UUGGAGGGCAAGUCUGGUGCCAGCAGCCGCGGUAAUUCCAGCUCCAAUAGCGUAUAUUAAAGUUGUUGCAGUUAAAAAGCUCGUAGUUGAAUUUCGGGGUCAAUAGGUCGGUCGUGCCACUGGUAUGAACUGGUUUUACUGAUUCCUCCCUCUUGAAGAACUGUAAUGCCAUUAAUUUGGUGCUGCAGGGAAUCAGGACUGUUACUUUGAAAAAAUUAGAGUGUUUAAAGCAGGCUUUAGCUUGAAUACACUAGCAUGGAAUAAUGAAAUAGGACGUUUGAUCCUAUUUUGUUGGUUUCUAGGAUCGACGUAAUGAUUAAUAGGGAUAGUUGGGGGCAUCAGUAUUCAAUUGUCAGAGGUGAAAUUCUUGGAUUUAUUGAAGACUAACUACUGCGAAAGCAUUUGCCAAGGAUGUUUUCAUUAAUCAAGAACGAAAGUUAGGGGAUCGAAGACUAUGCCGACUAGGGAUCGGAUGAUGUUAAUUUUUUAAUGACUCAUUCGGCGCCUUACGGGAAAC
rnacentral:rRNA from 1 species